rnacentral:rRNA from 1 species
AUUGAACGCUGGCGGCAGGCCUAACACAUGCAAGUCGAGCGGGGUUUUCGGACCUAGCGGCGGACGGGUGAGUAAUGCGUAGGAAGCUACCCGAUAGAGGGGGAUACCAGUUGGAAACGACUGUUAAUACCGCAUAAUGUCUACGGACCAAAGUGUGGGACCUUCGGGCCACAUGCUAUCGGAUGCGCCUGCGUGGGAUUAGCUAGUUGGUGGGGUAAUGGCUCACCAAGGCGACGAUCCCUGGCUGGUUUGAGAGGAUGAUCAGCCACACUGGAACUGAGACACGGUCCAGACUCCUACGGGAGGCAGCAGUGGGGAAUAUUGGACAAUGGGCGCAAGCCUGAUCCAGCCAUGCCGCGUGUGUGAAGAAGGCCUUCGGGUUGUAAAGCACUUUCAGUAGGGAGGAAGAGUUGAGUGUUAAUAGUACUCAGCUUUGACGUUACCUACAGAAGAAGCACCGGCUAACUCUGUGCCAGCCGCCGCUGUAACAC